GGAAGGAUCAUUAUUGAAAUAAACCUGAUGGGUUGUUGCUGGCUCUCUAGAGAGCAUGUGCACGCCUUGUCAUCUUUAAAUCUCCACCUGUGCACCUUUUGUAGACCUUUUCAGGUCUAUGUUGUCUCAUUUACCCCAAUGUAUGUUAAUAGAAUGUUGUGACUAUAUAAUAUAUACAACUUUCAGCAACGGAUCUCUUGGCUCUCGCAUCGAUGAAGAACGCAGCGAAAUGCGAUAAGUAAUGUGAAUUGCAGAAUUCAGUGAAUCAUCGAAUCUUUGAACGCACCUUGCGCUCCUUGGUAUUCCGAGGAGCAUGCCUGUUUGAGUGUCAUUAAUAUAUAUAUCAACCUUCUCUUGUUGAAUGGUUUGGAUGUGGGGGUUUGCUGGCCUCUUAAAAGGAUUCAGCUCUCCUAAAAUGCAUUAGCAGAACAAACCCUGUUCAUUGGUGUGAUAACUAUCUACGCUAUUGAAUGUGAGGUGGCAGUUCAGCUUUCUAACAGUCCCUCGGGACAACUCAUCAUUAAUGUGACCUCAAAUCAGGUAGGACUACCCGCUGAACUUAAGCAUAUCAAUAAGCGGAGGAAAAGAAACUAACAAGGAUUCCCCUAGUAACUGCGAGUGAAGCGGGAAAAGCUCAAAUUUAAAAUCUGGCGGUCUUUU
rnacentral:sRNA from 1 species